CCACAGCGCCCCCCAGCGGGCCGGAGUUAAGAGCAGGUUGUGUUGCUGAUGCAAAUGUGAAACUUUGAGGCCUUGGAAAACACCUGAGCCUUGUUACUUCAUGGAGGAGCAGUAAGAAGGAGAGGAGUGACUGGACUAAGGAGGUGUGGACACCCCUAAAUUCUCUUUGGAAGAGGCUCCCCAAAGUUCCUUAUGGAGCUGCUCCAUGAAGAAGACAACAGGAUGGCAGCAGCAAUGAGACAUCACUGCAAAAAUGUAAAAGAAUUUUUUUUAAUCUCAUUUAAAACCACUUUUGGGGAGCAGGGGACUUGAGGGGGCCCUCACUGCCAGAGUCCUGGGUGCCUCCAGGUGUUGGAAGAAUUUUGUGAAAGUAUUGCUGCAACAAUUUUUAUUAAUAAUUUGUUUUUAAUUUUUAAGUUUUAUUAAUUUUUAUAAUUUUUUUUCAUUUUAAUUAAAUAAUUUGUUCUUGAAGAUAUUUGUGUUUGGUGCUGCAACCCCCAAAACUUGCCAGGGGCUUUCUGCUGCUUUUCUGUGUGUGGUUGUGGCUCUUGGGCUGGUGUUGAUGCACAAAAUGAACUAAAAGUGGGAAUAAAGCAAUGAACUAA